GAUGCUGGGCUCAGUGAUAGAGCACUUUCCUAGCAUGCAUGAGGCCCUGGGUUCAAUUCUCAGCACUGCAUUU
rnacentral:tRNA from 1 species